GAGGGUGUAGCUCAGUGGUAGAAUGUAUGCUUAGCAUGCACAAGGUCAUGGGUUCAUUCCCCAGCACCUCCA
rnacentral:tRNA from 1 species